rnacentral:rRNA from 1 species
CCUACGGGUGGCAGCAGUGGGGAAUAUUGGGCAAUGGGCGCAAGCCUGACCCAGCAACGCCGCGUGAAGGAAGAAGGCUUUCGGGUUGUUAACCUCUUUUAUCAGGGACGAAGCAAGUGACGGUACCUGACGAAUAAGCCACCGCUAACUACGUGCCAGCAGCCGCGGUAAUACGUAGGUGGCAAGCGUUAUCCGGAUUUACUGGGUGUAAAGGGCGUGUAGGCGGGAGUGCAAGUCAGAUGUGAAAACUAUGGGCUCAACCCAUAGCCUGCAUUUGAAACUGUACUUCUUGAGUGCUGGAGAGGUAAUCGGAAUGCCGGGUGUAGCGGUGAAAUGCGUAGAUAUACGGAAGAACACCAGUGGCGAAGGCAGAUUGCUGGACAGUAACUGACGCUGAGGCGCGAAAGCGUGGGGAGCAAACAGGAUUAGAUACCCCAGUAGUC